GCCCGGGUGGUGGAAUGGUAGACACAGGGGACUUAAAAUCCCCCGGUCAUUGCGACUGUGCCGGUUCAAGUCCGGCUCCGGGUACCA
rnacentral:tRNA from 1 species